UCAAGAAACUUCCACAAUGGGCGAAAGCCUGAUGGAGCGACGUCGCGUGAUGGACGAAGUGCUUCGGCACGUAAACAUCUUUUAUGUGGGAUGAAAUUAUUGACAGUACCACAUGAAUAAGGGGCUCCUAACUCUGUGCCAGCAGGAGCGGUAAUACAGAGGCCCCAAGCGUUAUCCGGAAUCACUGGGCGUAAAGGGUGUCGAGGCGGUUGUAUUAGUCGUUCGUAAAAUCUACGAGCUUAACUUGUAGGCGGCGAACGAAACGGUACGACUUGAGGUUUGGAGAGGUGCGUGGAACUCACGGUGUAGGGGUGAAAUCCGUUGAUAUCGUGGGGAACACCAAAGGCGAAGGCAGCGCACUGGCCAAAAUCUGACGCUCACACACGAAAGCUAGGGUAGCGAAGAGGAUUAGAUACCCCAGUAUUCCCUGAGCGGGCUGGCAAGGCGCAU
rnacentral:rRNA from 1 species